AAAACUUGGGAUAAGUGAGCAUAACUAAAAUCUUGAUCACAAGCACUAUAAAUUACUACUAAAAGUUGAAACUAGACAAUAUAAGAGCUAAUAACCAAAAGAAAAAAUGUUCUACCAAGUGACACUAUCCCAUAAUUCCAUAUCCACAUAUUGUAAUUGUUGCCAUAUGAGAUAUGACCAAACUAAAACCAUCAACAAUUGAGUCCCAAAUUUCAUCAAGACAAACACCAAUUAACACCGCAAGGUCAAGGAGAGUCCAUAAAUCGUUAGAUUGCCUGUAUUAGCAUAUACUUGACAAUAAAAUUUUCAAAUAAAAGGGAAACAACCCAUAUUAUGGGAGUGUCAUCUGGUCACUAAUCCUUUUCAAAAUACAGCAAAUAACAAUCACCACGAGAGAACGCAAAGAUUACAAUAAAGGUAGCUUUGCAUUUAAUAUUCCAUUUAAAACCAUAAGAAUAUUUAAAGAUUGAUAUUUAUCUUCAUGAUUUCUCACUUCUUGAGAUUCUCUUCAAUUUUUUCUAAAAAUUUUCUGACCUAAUACCCAGCUCAAAGCAACAUUAACAUAACCAAAGAAACAAGAAAGAAAACUAAUUAUAGUAGUAGACUUGUCAAUGAUAAAAUUUGAGAAACCACCAUAGAUACUUUCUAGUAAAGGAGUAACCAAAAGAUUCAACCAAAAAUAAGAUACUUGAACCUGAUUCUCAAAUUCCAAUAAGUGAAUAAUCAAUGCUCUAAGUCUCUUUGUCCCUGAAUGAAAAAACAAGAUAUGUGCCUCGAUCAUAACAUGAAUGAAAGGAAAGCCUCAACAUAUGACUGGAGCAUAACAAAUGGCAGUCUAUGAGAAAGUUGUUGCAGGUGAAAUAUCUUUAAGCAUGAAGCAAUUUGAUGGCAAUUUAAUCUAUAAUCAUAGUGAUGUUAGGCAAACUCUCAUUGUAUGAAGCUGAAAAUAUUGACAAUUAUGAUAAUAGUAGACAUUUGCUGUAACAUUGCUAACAAAUGUCUGCUAUGACUAAUAGUAGAUAUUUUCUAUAAAAUUGAGAGUUACGAGAGACCCUUAACAAGCUAAGGCUGUAAAUUUGUGGGGGUAAAGGGGAAAAAAAUGGAAAAAAUAUGAUGGAACUUAAAAAUGAUGUCCAUAUUCCCUCUUAAAAUCCAUAUGCAUGCUCAACAAAAAAAUAACAUAUGACUUCUAAAUUUUUUGCAAAAUCAGUUCACUUAGUAUACCACUAAAAUGCAUUGAAGUAAUUCUUGGAAUAAUUGAACUCUUCAAAACAAUUUACAAUAUUUCAUUAACAAAUUCAGAAGGCUUAACAAAGAGAGAGAGAGAGAGGGGGUGGUAACAAAUUCACUAAUUCAAAGAAGGUAAAGUGUGUGUUUAAGUUAAGCUUCUGGUUUGAAUGAUACGUUGCCCCAAGAUGUAAACGUUCAGAGUCUUGCGAGUUCUUCAUGCAUUUUUUCAUUUUGUUAGUUCAUUUUUGACAAACAAUGUCUAGCAUAUCAGCUUGGUUAUUUAAAUUUGUCCACUUUUGAGAAAAAAAGUACAGUGUUUGUUCAUUCAUGUAACUCAAAAUAACUAAAAUUGAAAAGCCCUUACUUUUAACUAAAAGUCUUAGUAACUAAAAUUGGUUGCCAUGUUGGCAAACUACGUAGUGGUCUUGUAGUAAAAUUCCACAUGUUACCAGAAAUAAAGUUAAUGCCCAUAAAAUUGCAUCAGAACUACUCUUGUAAACAAAUUGAAAUAAACAAAAUACACACCAAAAAACAAUAUUUUCAAUCUCAGUCCGGUAUCAAUUUCAAUAAUAUAUCAGAGUAGUAUGGUACUGGUAUAUAAGAUAGUAUACCAACAUGUUCCGCUUGGUAUACAAACAAGUUGUUAGUCUUUUUUUAUCAUCAAUAAAUUUGAAUGAAAGAGAAAGAAAUAUUUUAAUCCAGAGUCCAAACAAUAGAUGAUAGACAUCAUCAAACAUCAUUAAGGUCUUUAUUUAGAAUGUGAUAUUUUAGACUUGAAAGAAAACUUGGUAGAUCUUUUCAAAUUUCAACUAUGCUUCUCUUCUGCUAAGUGAGCCUAAACAAAAACUUUGGAUCAGUGAGCAUAACUAAAAUCUUGAUCACAAGCUCUACAAAAUGCUAUUGGAAAUUGAAUCUAGAUAACAUAAGAGCUAAUAAUCAAAGAAAAGACAUUCUACCAAGUGACACUAUUCCAUAAUUCCGUAUCCACAUAUUGCAAUCGCCAUCAUCUGAGAAAUGACCAAACUGAAACCAUCAACAAUUGAGUCCCAAAUUUCAUCAAGACAAACACCAACAUUAACACCUCAAGGUCGAGGAGAGGUCAUAAAUCAUUGGAAUUUGUCUGUAUUAGCAUCUAUUUGAUAGCAAAUUUUGAAAAUAAAAGAGAAACAACCCAUAUUGAGUGUCACCUGGUUACUAAUCCUUAUCAAGCUAUGACAAAUAACAAUCACCAAGAGAGAACUCUAAGAUCACAAGAAAGGUAGCUUUGCAUUUAAUAUUCCAUUUAAAACCACAAAAAUAUUUAAAGACAAACAUUUGUCUUCAUGAUUUCUCACUUCUUAAGAUUCUCUUCAAUUUUUUUUAACAAAUUUCUGACCUAGUUCCCAGCUCAGAGCAACAUUAACAUAACCAAAGAAACUGAUAGCACCAACACUUGAGAGUAAAUAAAUCUAAAUCACCACUGUUGAUAGUAGCUUCCCAUGAUGUCUUCACUUCUUGUUGUUGUUGGUACAAUGAACAAUCUGAAUCUUGAACGAGACAAAUACACAAAGAUGCACAAAUUACUAAAUAUGACAUGCCACGUAAAACUAGAUGACUGACAUCAAUAAAAUAUUUCCUAUAUAAAAUUAGAGAAUGGACUACAUAACAGCAGAAAAAAAAUAUCUN
rnacentral:lncRNA from 1 species